UCUUCCUUGGUCUAGUGGUCAUGAUUUCCGCUUGUCAGUCGGUUAUUCGAUAACAAGCGCGGGAGACCGGGGUUCGAUUCCCCGAGGGAGAG